rnacentral:rRNA from 1 species
GACAGAGGGUGCAAACGUUGCUCGGAAUCACUGGGCGUAAAGGGCGCGUAGGCGGACAAUCAAGUCAGGGGUGAAAGCCUCCAGCUCAACUGGAGAAGUGCCUUUGAUACUGACUGUCUCGAGGGAGGUAGGGGCAUGUGGAACUUCCGGUGGAGCGGUGAAAUGCGUAGAUAUCGGAAGGAACGCCGGUGGCGAAAGCGACGUGCUGGACCUCUUCUGACGCUGAGGCGCGAAAGCUAGGGGAGCAAACAGG